AUACGUAGGGGGCGAGCGUUGUCCGGAAUGAUUGGGCGUAAAGGGCGCGUAGGCGGCUUUGUAAGUCUGGAGCGAAAGUCCUGCUUUUAAGGGAGGAAUUGCUUUGGAAACUAUAGAGCUUGAGUGCAGGAGAGGUUAUCGGAAUUCCCGGUGUAGCGGUGAAAUGCGUAGAGAUCGGGAGGAACACCAGUGGCGAAGGCGGGUAACUGGACUGCAACUGACGCUGAGGCGCGAAAGUGUGUGGAGCAAACAGGAUUAGAUACCCUGGUAGUCCACACUGUAAACGAUGAAUGCCAGGUGUAGGGGGUAUCGACCCCUUCUGUGCCGACGUAAACACAAUGAGCAUUCCGCCUGGGGAGUACGGUCGCAAGAUUAAA
rnacentral:rRNA from 1 species